GACGAACGCUGGCGGCGUGCUUAACAAAUGCAAGUCGAACGGAAAGGCCCUGCUUUUGUGGGGUGCUCGAGUGGCGAACGGGUGAGUAACACGUGAGUAACCUGCCCUUGACUUUGGGAUAACUUCAGGAAACUGGGGCUAAUACCGGAUAGGAGCUCCUGCUGCAUGGUGGGGGUUGGAAAGUUUCGGCGGUUGGGGAUGGACUCGCGGCUUAUCAGCUUGUUGGUGGGGUAGUGGCUUACCAAGGCUUUGACGGGUAGCCGGCCUGAGAGGGUGACCGGCCACAGUGGGACUGAGAUACGGCCCAGACUCCUACGGGAGGCAGCAGUGGGGAAUAGUGCACAAUGGGCGGAAGCCUGAUGCAGCAACGCCGCGUGCGGGAUGACGGCCUUCGGGUUGUAAACCGCUUUCGCCUGUGACGAAGCGUGAGUGACGGUAAUGGGUAAAGAAGCACCGGCUAACUACGUG
rnacentral:rRNA from 1 species